UACGUAGGGUGCGAGCGUUAAUCGGAAUUACUGGGCGUAAAGCGUGCGCAGGCGGUUGGCAAAGUCAGCUGUGAAAGCCCCGGGCUCAACCUGGGAAUGGCGGUUGAAAUACUAGUCGACUCGAAUCUGGCAGAGGGGGGGUGGAAUUGCUGGUGUAGCGGUGAAAUGCGUAGAGAUCAGCAGGAACACCCGUGGCGAAGGCGGCCCCCUGGGCCGUACCUGACGCUGAGGCGCGAAGGCUAGGGGAGCGAACGGG
rnacentral:rRNA from 1 species